GGAUUUUGUUGUUGUUGUUUAAGUAAGUUGGCAUGUGCUAAAUUGCCUCUGAUAGAAGAAGAACUCAAUCAAAACUGACAUUGUCUGUCUAGUGUUUUACUAGAAGCCCACUAGGUUGUGAUACGUUUUAAUGUUUAGACUUCAGUACUGCAAUGAACAUUAAAUCAACAACUCCAGCCCGCAUACCAAUUCAGGAAAUUAGCACAGAGCUUGAAAACUCUUGAAAAUAAGGUGUGACCCUGCUGAAGAUAAUUCUGGCUUCCAGGCUUUCAUGGAGGAUAUAUUAAUUCAUUAAAUUAUUCGAGCAUGCUGCAUACAAAUGCUGACAGAGAUUCAAAGUUCAGCCUGUGGCCAGGAAGGAUGGUGCUGAUACGAGGUGUCUCAUUUUAACCUGUCACGAGGUGAAUGAAGAGUCUCUGAAGAUCACUUGACUUAAGCUGUCAGUGAAGAAGUCUCAAAAUUGAGUUUAAUGUCAUCCCAUGCAUCCAACAAGAUCCUGGAGGUAAAAGUGUUUUCUAAAGGAUGAAACCCUAUGCAGGUGCGAAGUGCAUUUGCAAUGAUCCAUGAACUUGAACUCAGAAUCUUGGUGGAUGCAUGGCACAUGGAUCUUCAGCAAGAUUCAAA